rnacentral:rRNA from 1 species
UACGUAGGGUGCGAGCGUUAAUCGGAAUUACUGGGCGUAAAGCGUGCGCAGGCGGUUUGUUAAGACAGAUGUGAAAUCCCCGGGCUUAACCUGGGAACUGCAUUUGUGACUGGCAAGCUAGAGUAUGGCAGAGGGGGGUAGAAUUCCACGUGUAGCAGUGAAAUGCGUAGAGAUGUGGAGGAAUACCGAUGGCGAAGGCAGCCCCCUGGGCCAAUACUGACGCUCAUGC